AUUGAACGCUGGCGGCAGGCCUAACACAUGCAAGUCGAACGAGUGGCGGACGGGUGAGUAAUGUUUGGGAAUCUAGCUUAGGGAGGGGGAUAACUACUGGAAACGGUAGCUAAUACCGCAUACCAUCGGAUGUACCCAGAUGGGAUUAGCUAGUAGGUGGGGUAAAGGCUCACCUGGGCGACGCUCCCUAGCUGGUCUGCGAGGAUGGCCAGCCACACUGGAACUGAGACACGGUCCAGACUCCUAAGGUAGGCAGCAGUGGGGAAUAUUGCACAAUGGGCGCAAGCCUGAUGCAGCCAUGCCGCGUGUAUGAAGAAGGCCUUCGGGUUGUAAAGUACUUUCAGCGGGGAGGCGUUACCCGCAGAAGAAGCACCGGCUAACUCCGUGCCAGCCGCCGCGGUAAUAC
rnacentral:rRNA from 1 species